rnacentral:rRNA from 1 species
UACGUAGGUGGCAAGCGUUGUCCGGAAUUAUUGGGCGUAAAGCGCGCGCAGGCGGUCCUUUAAGUCUGAUGUGAAAGCCCACGGCUCAACCGUGGAGGGUCAUUGGAAACUGGGGGACUUGAGUGCAGGAGAGAAGAGUGGAAUUCCACGUGUAGCGGUGAAAUGCGUAGAGAUGUGGAGGAACACCAGUGGCGAAGGCGGUCUCCUGGGGUUAUCUUGACGCUGAUGCGCGAAAGCUGGGGGAGCGAACAGG